rfam:Triticum aestivum genome assembly, contig: Triticum_aestivum_CS42_TGACv1_scaffold_501145_6BL
UGUUUGCUUUGAUGAGUCACAAGCACGGUACCUGAGUAAGUUGGAUCUUGGAAAAGGUGAACCUCCUUGUUUAUUAAUCCUAAACUGAUGAUAAACUUUGAGCAAACA